ensembl:lncRNA
UCUGUCUCUCUGUCUCUGUCUGUCUCUCUGUGUGUCUCUCUGUCUCUGUCUGUCUCUCUGUCUCUCUGUCUCUGUCUGUCUCUCUGUCUCUGUCUGUCUCUCUGUGUGUCUCUCUGUCUCUGUCUGUCUCUCUGUCUCUCUGUCUCUCUGUCACUCUGUCUCUCUCUCUCUCUGUCUGUAACUCUGUGUCUCUCUGUCUGUCUCUGUCUCUGUCUGUCUCUCAGUGUCGUUCUGUCGUCCUCAUUGGGUCCAUUUGCAGGUGUGACUGAAGCUUUGUCUCUUUAGGCCGACGCCCUCUCUCCGGUGUCCCUCCUCUUCUCGUCGCCGCGGGUUACGGGUCGUCGGACGGGACCGACUGGUUCCUUCACCUGAAUGAAGCGUUCCGUGUCUUCAGGGGGAAUGAAGCCGCUGUGGAGAGAAACAAAGGAGACAACGAAAACACGAGUCAUCUGAGCUGGAAUGUCCAGAACGGAGCCAACGGGCGUCAUUAUCUCGACACAAUGUGACAUGCUGUGUCCUCUACGCUGAUCCCUGCGAUGUGAAGCAACGUGAGUGGACAUGAAUAUGAAAGCUCCCUUCAAAGCCA